CAUAGCCUUCCAGCAAUGGGCUGCUUGACUGAUCACAAUGGAUUAUUACGCUGAUAAAAUGCGUAACGUGAAGAAGAGUAUGUAGAAAGUUAAAAGUCCUGUCAGUCAAAAAAAAAAAGAAAAAAAGAAAAUGAAUUACGGAAACAUUGCAAAGCAAGCGAAAGGGGCAGCUGAGAAAAAGAGGCAUAGAGCAAAAGCUGACCGAAGAUGUUAAAUUGUACUGUUAGAAGCGGCAGUUACUGGUUACAGAGCUGCUAGCAAGCAGCAGUAAACAUUGUAAACUGGCCUUUUUUUCAUUGCAGACAUUUGACUUGUCUAAGCAGGGAAAGCUACAGGUGGAGCUAAUUCUGUUAACAAUGGCUGAGGGUAAGCUAGGCCAGCCAGUGAGUGAGCAUUCACAAUACCAGGACUCUUCUAAGUCAUUAAUGUUAUUAAGUACACCUGUGCUUUUCCUGCUACGGCAUUUCAAACUUCAAGCUGGGGAAUUGUCUGAGAAGCACACUAUCACAGAACAAUUGGGAGGCUUCAGUGAUAGCAACAUGGAGAGCCAUCCUAAUCAAGCUAAUAAUGUGAUGACAACCUCCUCUGUAGCUCGAUAACUUCAUGAAGGCACUGCAUGGGUUUUGAACUGGGGCCACUGGGAAUUGAUGCUUCAGGACAGAUUUGUGAGGGACACAUUCGCUGCCUAACCAUAACCGAACCUCAGUCAUAACCUUAACCAAUGAUGGCAGCUUUAUGUGAAACAGAAUUGGUCAAGACUACAGACUACUACAGCUGCAACAUCAAGCCAGAAGAUGGAGUUUGGUGUUCACGGGCCGCAGCUACUUCCUGCUUCACUUCACCUCAAGGACAGUGAGAGAUGGACAGGAAAGUCACGGGGAGAGAGAGGGGAUCACAUGCAGCAAAG